rnacentral:rRNA from 1 species
AUUGAACGCUGGCGGCAUGCUUUACACAUGCAAGUCGAACGCGUGGCGCACGGGUGAGUAAUACAUCGGAACGACUCCUAUCGUGGGGGAUAACUGAUCGAAAGACCAGCUAAUACCGCAUACGAUUGGAGCGGCCGCUGUCCGAUUAGCUAGUUGGUGAGGUAAAGGCUCACCAAGGCGACGAUCGGUAGCUGGUCUGAGAGGACGACCAGCCACACUGGGACUGAGACACGGCCCAGACUCCUACGGGAGGCAGCAGUGGGGAAUUUUGGACAAUGGGGGCAACCCUGAUGCAGCCAUGCCGCGUGCAGGAUGAAGGUCUUCGGGUUGUAAACUGCUUUUGGCGGGGAAGCGGUACCUGAAGAAUAAGCACCGGCUAACUACGUGCCAGCAGCCGCGGUAAUUC